GAUGAACGCUGGCGGCGUGCCUAAUACAUGCAAGUCGAGCGAAUGGAUUAAGAGCUUGCUCUUAUGAAGUUAGCGGCGGACGGGUGAGUAACACGUGGGUAACCUGCCCAUAAGACUGGGAUAACUCCGGGAAACCGGGGCUAAUACCGGAUAACAUUUUGAACCGCAUGGUUCGAAAUUGAAAGGCGGCUUCGGCUGUCACUUAUGGAUGGACCCGCGUCGCAUUAGCUAGUUGGUGAGGUAACGGCUCACCAAGGCAACGAUGCGUAGCCGACCUGAGAGGGUGAUCGGCCACACUUGGACGAGGACACGGCCCAGACUCCUACGGGAGGCAGCAGUAGGGAAUCUUCCGCAAUGGACGAAAGUCUGACGGAGCAACGCCGCGUGAGUGAUGAAGGCUUUCGGGUCGUAAAACUCUGUUGUUAGGGAAGAACAAGUGCUAGUUGAAUAAGCUGGCACCUUGACGGUACCUAACCAGAAAGCCACGGCUAACUACGUGCCAGCCGCCGCCGUAA
rnacentral:rRNA from 1 species